GGGUGGUUAGCUCAGUUGGUUAGAGCGCUGCGUUGACAUCGCAGAGGUCACAAGUUCAAGUCUUGUAUCACCCA
rnacentral:tRNA from 1 species